UGCUGCCCUAACCUUCUGGGAAUGGAUUCUUCUCUGUUCUUCCUGGGUCUGGGGCAGGGAGGACAGGAAGUAACCCUCCCAGGAGUGCCCUCUGCUGUCACUCUGUCUACCCUGUCAUCACCAGGCCCAGUGCAUCCUAGAUGACUAAGACCACUCUUCUUCCCAAAUGAGCCCAUGGCCAGGUUUUGGUGACUCAAGGAGCUUCUCCCAAGCCACCAGUGCAGAGUCUCAGGAGAAGAGCUUGAGGACUUGAGAAGGAGAACGAACACAUGGUCCAAUGUGAAUGUCCAUCAGCCUAGAGCACAGCACCAUUCCAUCACAGAGCAUGUAGUAUUGUUCCAUCAUAGAGUACAGAAUCUUCACCAUAGAGUAUAUAAAUAGCACCAUUCCAUCAGGGGGCAUAGCAUCAGGCUCCUUAAAGGCCAUGCUCAGGAGGAGGGUUUGUUCCUUGUUGCUGUCCAGCAGCAACAUUAAAAGGGGUGGGGUACCUGGAAUAUGGAGUUAGAAAGAAAUAGGAGGAGAUAAAAAGAGGAGGAGAUAGGAGGAAGCAGGCUAGCCAUACUAUACCUUACCCACGUGGGAGGAUAAAAAAUUAGACCACACGAGCUGUGGUCACUCAUUCAUCUUCACUUUAAUGCCCUAUUUGUCCAGCCAACAGUUAGAAAAGAUGUUCAUUUGCCAUUUGAAAAUGAGUCAAGAAGUGCCAGCACUCAUUCAGUAACAAGGUGGAAGGAGAGAAAAUGAACGGAAGACCAGUGGUCACAAAGCACCUCCAGGGACUGUGGACUGCACAGAAAGAGUGUGUCACUACUUAUGAAUAAACAUGAGGUGCCCUUGACUCCUAA